UACGAAGGGGGCUAGCGUUGUUCGGAUUUACUGGGCGUAAAGCGCACGUAGGCGGAUCGUUAAGUCGGGGGUGAAAUCCUGGAGCUCAACUCCAGAACUGCCUUCGAUACUGGCGAUCUUGAGUCCGGAAGAGGUGAGUGGAACUCCUAGUGUAGAGGUGGAAUUCGUAGAUAUUCGCAAGAACACCGGUGGCGAAGGCGGCAUCCUGGACCGACACUGACGCUGAGGAGCGAAAGCCAGGGGAGCAAAGCGGG
rnacentral:rRNA from 1 species